rnacentral:rRNA from 1 species
GAUGAACGCUGGCGGCGUGCCUAAUACAUGCAAGUCGAGCGAACGGACGAGAAGCUUGCUUCUCUGAUGUUAGCGGCGGACGGGUGAGUAACACGUGGAUAACCUACCUAUAAGACUGGGAUAACUUCGGGAAACCGGAGCUAAUACCGGAUAAUAUUUUGAACCGCAUGGUUCAAAAGUGAAAGGCGGUCUUGCUGUCACUUAUAGAUGGAUCCGCGCUGCAUUAGCUAGUUGGUAAGGUAACGGCUUACCAAGGCAACGAUGCAUAGCCGACCUGAGAGGGUGAUCGGCCACACUGGAACUGAGACACGGUCCAGACUCCUACGGGAGGCAGCAGUAGGGAAUCUUCCGCAAUGGGCGAAAGCCUGACGGAGCAACGCCGCGUGAGUGAUGAAGGUCUUCGGAUCGUAAAACUCUGUUAUUAGGGAAGAACAUAUGUGUAAGUAACUGUGCACAUCUUGACGGUACCUAAUAAGAAAGCCACGGCUAACUACGUG